GGGGAUUUAGCUCAGUGGUAGAGUGCUUGCCUAGCAAGCACAAGGCCCUGGGUUCGGUUCCCAGCUCCG
rfam:Rattus norvegicus chromosome 13, whole genome shotgun sequence.